rnacentral:rRNA from 1 species
AUUGAACGCUGGCGGCAGGCCUAACGCAUGCAAGUCGAGCGGAUGAAGGGAGCUUGCUCCUGGAUUCAGCGGCGGACGGGUGAGUAAUGCCUAGGAAUCUGCCUGGUAGUGGGGGAUAACGUCCGGAAACGGGCGCUAAUACCGCAUACGUCCUGAGGGAGAAAGAGGGGGAUCUUCGGACCUCACGCUAUCAGAUGAGCCUAGGUCGGAUUAGCUAGUUGGUGGGGUAAAGGCCUACCAAGGCGACGAUCCGUAACUGGUCUGAGAGGAUGAUCAGUCACACUGGAACUGAGACGCGGUCCAGACUCCUACGGGAGGCAGCAGUGGGGAAUAUUGGACAGUGGGCGAAAGCCUGAUCCAGCCAUGCCGCGUGUGUGAAGAAGGUCUUCGGAUUGUAAAGCACUUUAAGUUGGGGGGAAGGGCAGUAAGUUAAUACCUUGCUGUUUUGACGUUACCAACAGAAUAAGCACCGGCUAACUUCGUG